rnacentral:rRNA from 1 species
UAAGUGACUAAGCGUACACGGUGGAUGCCUGGGCAGUCAGAGGCGAUGAAGGACGUACUAACUUGCGAUAAGCGCAGAUAAGGCAGUAAGAGCCGUUUGAGUCUGCGAUUUCCGAAUGGGGAAACCCAACUGCAUAAGCAGUUACUGUUAACUGAAUACAUAGGUUAACAGAGCAAACCGGGGGAACUGAAACAUCUAAGUACCCCGAGGAGAAGAAAUCAACCGAGAUUCCGGUAGUAGCGGCGAGCGAACCUGGAUUAGCCCUUAAGCACUCGGUGAAGUAGGUGAACAAGCUGGAAAGCUUGGCGAUACAGGGUGAUAGCCCCGUAACCGACGCUUCAUCGAGCGUGAAAUCGAGUAGGGCGGGACACGUGAUAUCCUGUCUGAAUAUGGGGGGACCAUCCUCCAAGGCUAAAUACUCCUGACUGACCGAUAGUGAACCAGUACCGUGAGGGAAAGGCGAAAAGAACCCCUGUGAGGGGAGUGAAAUAGAACCUGAAACCGUGUACGUACAAGCAGUAGGAGCACCUUCGUGGUGUGACUGCGUACCUUUUGUAUAAUGGGUCAGCGACUUAUAUUCAGUGGCAAGGUUAACCGUAUAGGGGAGCCGUAGCGAAAGCGAGUCUUAACUGGGCGCUCAGUCUCUGGAUAUAGACCCGAAACCGGGUGAUCUAGCCAUGGGCAGGUUGAAGGUUGAGUAACAUCAACUGGAGGACCGAACCGACUAAUGUUGAAAAAUUAGCGGAUGACUUGUGGCUAGGGGUGAAAGGCCAAUCAAACUCGGAGAUAGCUGGUUCUCCCCGAAAGCUAUUUAGGUAGCGCCUCGGACGAAUACUACUGGGGGUAGAGCACUGUUAAGGCUAGGGGGUCAUCCCGACUUACCAACCCUUUGCAAACUCCGAAUACCAGUAAGUACUAUCCGGGAGACACACGGCGGGUGCUAACGUCCGUCGUGGAGAGGGAAACAACCCAGACCGCCAGCUAAGGUCCCAAAGUAUUGCUAAGUGGGAAACGAUGUGGGAAGGCUCAGACAGCUAGGAUGUUGGCUUAGAAGCAGCCAUCAUUUAAAGAAAGCGUAAUAGCUCACUAGUCGAGUCGGCCUGCGCGGAAGAUGUAACGGGGCUAAGCAAUACACCGAAGCUGCGGCAAUGUCUUUUAGACAUUGGGUAGGGGAGCGUUCUGUAAGCCGUUGAAGGUGAAUCGUAAGGUUUGCUGGAGGUAUCAGAAGUGCGAAUGCUGACAUGAGUAACGACAAAGGGGGUGAAAAACCUCCUCGCCGGAAGACCAAGGGUUCCUGUCCAACGUUAAUCGGGGCAGGGUGAGUCGACCCCUAAGGUGAGGCCGAAAGGCGUAAUCGAUGGGAAACGGGUUAAUAUUCCCGUACUUCUGACUAUUGCGAUGGGGGGACGGAGAAGGCUAGGUGGGCCAGGCGACGGUUGUCCUGGUUCAAGUGCGUAGGCUUGAGAGUUAGGUAAAUCCGGCUCUCUCUAAGGCUGAGACACGACGUCGAGCUGCUACGGCAGUGAAGUCAUUGAUGCCAUGCUUCCAGGAAAAGCCUCUAAGCUUCAGAUAGUCAGGAAUCGUACCCCAAACCGACACAGGUGGUCGGGUAGAGAAUACCAAGGCGCUUGAGAGAACUCGGGUGAAGGAACUAGGCAAAAUGGUACCGUAACUUCGGGAGAAGGUACGCUCUUGAUGGUGAAGUCCCUCGCGGAUGGAGCUGACGAGAGUCGCAGAUACCAGGUGGCUGCAACUGUUUAUUAAAAACACAGCACUGUGCAAAAUCGCAAGAUGACGUAUACGGUGUGACGCCUGCCCGGUGCCGGAAGGUUAAUUGAUGGGGUUAGCGCAAGCGAAGCUCUUGAUCGAAGCCCCGGUAAACGGCGGCCGUAACUAUAACGGUCCUAAGGUAGCGAAAUUCCUUGUCGGGUAAGUUCCGACCUGCACGAAUGGCGUAAUGAUGGCCACGCUGUCUCCACCCGAGACUCAGUGAAAUUGAAAUCGCUGUGAAGAUGCAGUGUACCCGCGGCUAGACGGAAAGACCCCGUGAACCUUUACUACAGCUUGGCACUGAACAUUGAACCUACAUGUGUAGGAUAGGUGGGAGGCUUUGAAGACGUGACGCCAGUUGCGUUGGAGCCGUCCUUGAAAUACCACCCUUGUAUGUUUGAUGUUCUAACUUAGACCCAUUAUCUGGGUUGAGGACAGUGCCUGGUGGGUAGUUUGACUGGGGCGGUCUCCUCCCAAAGAGUAACGGAGGAGCACGAAGGUGGGCUAAUCACGGUUGGACAUCGUGAGGUUAGUGCAAUGGCAUAAGCCCGCUUAACUGCGAGAAUGACGGUUCGAGCAGGUGCGAAAGCAGGUCAUAGUGAUCCGGUGGUUCUGUAUGAAGGGCCAUCGCUCAACGGAUAAAAGGUACUCCGGGGAUAACAGGCUGAUACCGCCCAAGAGUUCAUAUCGACGGCGGCGUUUGGCACCUCGAUGUCGGCUCAUCACAUCCUGGGGCUGAAGUCGGUCCCAAGGGUAUGGCUGUUCGCCAUUUAAAGUGGUACGCGAGCUGGGUUUAGAACGUCGUGAGACAGUUCGGUCCCUAUCUGCCGUGGGCGUUGGAAGAUUGAAGGGGGCUGCUCCUAGUACGAGAGGACCGGAGUGGACGAACCUCUGGUGUUCGGGUUGUGUCGCCAGACGCAUUGCCCGGUAGCUAAGUUCGGAAUUGAUAAGCACUGAAAGCAUCUAAGCGCGAAGCGAGCCCUGAGAUGAGUCUUCCCUGAUACUUUAAGUAUCCUAAAGGGUUGUUCGAGACUAGAACGUUGAUAGGCAGGGUGUGUAAGCGUUGUGAGGCGUUGAGCUAACCUGUACUAAUUGCCCGUGAGGCUUAACCA